rnacentral:rRNA from 1 species
GACGGAAGGUGCAAGCGUUGCUCGGAAUCACUGGGCGUAAAGGGUGCGUAGGCGGCCGUGCAAGUCUGGCGUGAAAGCCCCGGGCUCAGCCCGGGAAGUGCGCUCGAAACUGCGCGGCUCGAGUGCCGGAGGGGAGAGUGGAAUUCCUGGUGUAGCGGUGAAAUGCGUAGAUAUCAGGAGGAAUACCGGUGGCGAAGGCGACUCUUUGGUCUGUAACUGACGCUGAGGCGCGAAAGCGUGGGGAGCAAACAGG